rnacentral:rRNA from 1 species
AGAGUUUGAUCCUGGACUCAGAAAUCAACGCUGUGCGCGCGCGCUUAACACAUGCAAGUCGAACGACGAAACGCCCGCAAGGGUGAGUAAAGUGGCGUACGGGUGAGUAACACGUGGGUAAUCUACCUUUUGGUGGGGAAUAACCCUGGGAAACCGGGGCUAAUACCGCAUAAGCUCGAAAGAGGAAAGGAGCAAUUCGCCGAAAGAGGAGCCCGCGGCUGAUUAGCGUAGUUGGUGAGGUAAAGGCUCACCAAGGCAAUGAUCGGUAGCCGGCCUGAGAGGGCNGNGGGCCACACUGGCACUGAAACACGGGCCAGACUCCUACGGGAGGCAGCAGUGGGGAAUCUUGCACAAUGGGGGAAACCCUGAUGCAGCGACUGCCGCGUGAGCGAUGAAGCCCUUCGGGGUGUAAAGCUCUUUCGGCAGGGACGAUAAUGACGGCACCUGAAGAAGAAGCUGCGGCUAACUACGUGCCAGUCAGCCGCGGUAAUACGUAGGCAGCGAGCGUUGUUCGGAGUUACUGGGCGUCAAAGAGUGCGUAGCGUUUUCUAAUUUGGUGUGAAAUCUCCCGGCUUAACUGGGAGGGUGCGCCGAAACUGGAAAGGCUUUGAGUAUGGGAGAGGUAAGCGGAAUUCCUGGUGUACCGGUAAAUGCGUAAUUCAGGAGGAACACCUGCGUGUAACGGCUUACUGGACAUACUGACGCUUAGGCACAAAGCGUGGGUAGCAAACAGGAUUAGAUACCCUGGUAGUUCCACGCCCUAAACGAUGCAUACUUGNUGUGGCCAGGUUCAUUCUAUCCGUGCCGGAGCUAACGCGUUAAGUAUGCCGCCUGGGGAGUACGUUCGCAAGGCUGAAACUCAAAGGAAUUGACGGGGGCCCGCACAAGCGGUGGAGCAUGAGGUUUAAUUCGGCGCAACGCGAAGAACCUUACCUGGGCUCGAACGGCUUUGGCAAGCUCCUGGAAACAGGAGGCCUCCCGCAAGGGACUGAAGUCGAGGUGCUGCAUGGCUGUCGUCAGCUCGUGUCGUGAGAUGUUGGGUUAAGUCCCGCAACGAGCGCAACCCCUGUCCUGUGUUGCUAACCGAAAGGUGCACUCUCAGGAGACCGCCAGCGAUAAGCUGGAGGAAGGUGGGGAUGACGCCAAGUCAUCAUGGCCUUUAUGUCCAGGGCUACACACGUGCUACAAUGGGCGGUACAGACCGCUGCAAACCCGCGAGGGGGAGCAAAUCGGAAAAAAGCGUUCUCAGUUCGGAUUGCAGGCUGCAACUCGCCUGCAUGAAGCUGGAAUCGCUAGUAAUGGCAUAUCAGAACGAUGCCGUGAAUACGUUCCCGGGCCUUGUACACACCGCCCGUCACAUCACGAAAGUGGAUUGUACUAGAAGUCUGCGCGCCAACCCGCAAGGGAGGCAGCGGCCCAAGGUAUGAUUCAUGAUUGGGGUGAAGUCGUACAAGUUAACCGUAGGAGGACCUGCGGCUGGAUCACCUCCUU